AGGGCGUACGGUGAAUGCCUUGGUGCCAACAGGCGAAGAAGGACGCGGCAAGCUGCGAAAAACCUCGGGAAGCUGCAAGCAAGCGAUGAUCCGGGGGUGUCCGAAUGGGGUAACCUGACUGGGGUAAUACCUGGUCGUUCAUACCUGAAUACAUAGGGUAUGAAACGCAAUACCCGCUGAAGUGAAACAUCUCAGUAAGCGGAGGAAAAGAAAGAGAAAUCGAUUCCGUAAGUAGUGGCGAGCGAAAGCGGAUGGAGCCCAAACCGAAGGUACUCCUUCGGGGUUGUAGGACCACGACAUAUUCGACCAUAGUGGAUAGUAGAACAGUCUGGAAAGGCUGGCCAUAGAAGGUGAAAGCCCUGUAGACGAAAUCCAGAGUGGGAAUUAGUGGUAUCCUGAGUAAUACAUCACACGUGGAACGAUGUAUGAAUCAGCGCGGACCACCGCGCAAGGCUAAAUACUAGUUGGCGACCGAUAGUGAACAAGUACCGCGAGGGAAAGGUGAAAAGAACCGCUGUGAGCGGAGUGAAAUAGAACCUGAAACCGUAUGUCUACAAAGUGUCAGAGCAGAGCAAUCUGCGAUGGCGUGCCUUUUGUUUAAUGAGUCUGCGAGUCAGUGUUUGUGGCAAGACUAAGGGCUUCCGGCCCGGAGUCGCAGCGAAAGCAAGUCCGAAUAGGGCGCAUUAAGUCGCAGGUACUGGACCCGAAGCGGAGGUGACCUACCCUUGGCCAGGUUGAAGCAUGGGUAAAACCAUGUGGAGGACCGAACAGGUGAACGUUGAAAAGUUCUCUGAUGAGCUGAGGGUAGGAGUGAAAGGCUAAUCAAACCCCGUGAUAGCUGGUUCUCUUCGAAAUGCAUUUAGGUGCAGCGUCACGUGCUGAUGCGCGGGGGUAGAGCACUGACAAGGCUAGGGGGCACACCCGCUUACCAAACCUUAUCAAACUCCGAAUACCGUGCAAUGGAACGUGGCAGUGAGACAGUGGGGGAUAAGCUUCAUUGUCGAGAGGGAAACAACCCAGACCAGCAGCUAAGGUGCCUAAAUAACGCUGAGUGGAAAGGAUGUGGGAUUACACAGACAGUGAGGAUGUUGGCUUAGAAGCAGCCACCAUUUAAAAAAUGCGUAAUAGCUUACUCAUCGAGUGAUCCUGCGCCGAAAAUGAUUGGCGAUCAAGCGUUAUACCGAAGCUCUGGACUUUGCCGCAAGGCAGAGUGGUAGAAGAGCGUUGCAUGCGCAUUGAAGGGUGAUGGCGACUGACCCUGGAGCGCAUGCAAGUGAGUAUGCAGACAUGAGUAACGUAAAGCCGGGUGAAAUCCCCGGCCGCCGUAAACCCGAGGUUUCCAGGGCAACGUGUUUCGUCCCUGGGUUAGCCGGGACCUAAGCCGAGGCCGAGAGGCGUAGGCGAUGGAUAUCAGGUUAAUAAUCCUGAGCUCGCGACCCUUAAACUGGGGGGACGCAUGAGAAGAGAUGACCAGGUUAUUGAAUUCCGAGCUGGGUCCACGGACCCAGCGCAUCAUCAAAUCGAGUGCCAAGAAAAGCCCCAGCGUAUGCUAAGCGACCCGUACCGCAAACCGACACAGGUGGGUGGGUAGAAUAUACCAAGGCGUAAGAGUGAAACCUGGUUAAGGAACUCGGCAAAUUAGCCCCGUAACUUCGGAAGAAGGGGUGCCUGCAGCGAUGCAGGCCGCAGAGAAAUGGCCCAACCGACUGUUUAUCAAAAACACAGCACUCUGCAAAGACGCAAGUCGAAGUAUAGGGUGUGACACGUGACCAAUGCCGAAAGAUUAAGGCAAGGGGUUAGCCGCAAGGCGAAGCUCUGAACCCAAGUCCCGGUGAAUGUCGGCCGUAACUAUAACGGUCCUAAGGUAGCGAAAUUCCUUGUCGGGUAAGUUCCGACCUGCACGAAUCGUGAAACGAGUUGGGCACUGUCUCAACCAGGCGCUCAGUGAAAUUGUAGUGGCGGUGAAGAUGCCGCCUACCCGCAGAAGGACGGAAAGACCCUAUAGACCUUAACUGUAAGCUGU
rnacentral:rRNA from 1 species